AAAAAAGAGGCCCCAGGUCCACUGAUCAUCAGGUGCCUGCAGCAGGAUGGGCUCCAGCUCUGAAUCCCAGAGCUGCCCCUGAGUGAGGAUCAACUCUUCAGAGAGGCACAGGGAGCCCUGCAGCUGCUCCUGCAGCCCCUGGGCACUCCCAGUGUGGAACAGGCUCCUGGAAUGCUGCUGGGAUACAGCCCUGGGGCUCUCUGCCUGCCCAUUUUAACCACUGGAAGUUGCAGGAGAUUCCCAAAAAGGAAUCCAGAAUUCCCAAGAAGGUGGAGGGAACACCCACAGCCCCCAGGAGGAUCUGCCCCGUGCCAGGGACUGGCUCAGCACCUCAGGUACCACACUGACAGAAACACAGCAAACAGGAAGGAUUUGAGGGAAGGAUGAGAGAGAAAGUGGGGGGGAAAAAGUGUUUCUGUCAUCCUUGUUUUAGCACAUCUCCCAUGACUUGAGCCAGAAUCUCUGAAAUCCUGCUCAUCUUCUCAGAGAUGCAAAAUUGGGUUCUGUUUUUGACUCCUCACUGGUAACAGGUUUGGGUUGGAUGUCUGCCUUUCUGAUCUAUUAAAAUUUGGUUUUAUUUAUUUUUAUAUGUAUCAAAAAGCUCAAAAAGAACCGGGAAAAAUGAUGAAACUUUCUGAAAUUCUUUUAAUCAGCAAUUGGAUUUUGUUAAGGUCUGUCUUAACAAGCACAACUAUAAUUUAAAUAACUUCCAAAAUAUUCCUUUUACUACAAAUAUCCCCACUUGUCCAUUUCCACUACAAAACAGGGAUAUUUUUAGUAAUAGGAAAUCAUGUUUGAAAUAAACAUAAAAUAACUUAUUUGCUAAAAUAAGGA
rnacentral:lncRNA from 1 species